AUGUGCCGCAUGUACUACCAGCACGACGACGAUGCCAGCAAUGGGAGCAGCAGUGGGGAUGACGAGAAGCAGAGCAGGGAUGACGAGGAGCAGUCUAUUCUGGCUGACGACGACCUUGCUAUGAUGGUGGCUGACGACGACCCUGCUAUGGUGCUGGCGGAUGACGACCUUGCUAUGGUGGUGGCUGACGACGACCCUGCUAUGGUGCUGGCGGAUGACGACCUUGCUAUGGUGGUGGCUGACGACGACCCUGCUAUGGUGGUGGCGGAUGACGAGCUUGCUAUGGUGGCUGAUGACGACCUCGCGAUUGUGGUGCCCAAUGAUGACCUCGCAACGGUGGUGCCUGACAAUGACCUCGGGAUGGUGGUGGCGCCUGCAAUCCCACAGCUUGGCGACAAGACCAUGCCAAUUGUGGUAGAGGAGUACAUCCACGUUGGGAUUCGCCACUCUGAGCGCAUCAGGUUGAUGAAGGAGAAGGAGGAGUGA
rnacentral:rRNA from 1 species